AAGUUAUUUGUUUUGCUACUAAGUUAAGUUUUUUUCUUCUUACACUUUGGUAUGUAUUAGGAUGACAAAGAAAGGGAAACUAAUUGCAUCUCAGUCGAGAUCAUAUGUUGUGUGGAAUCGUGAUAUGGACCCAGCUUUAGCCAAUGUGUUGUAUGAUCAAAUGAACCAAGGAUUAAAAGUCGACGGUACGUGGAAGCCUCAAGUGUAUCAAGCUGCGGUUGAUGCACUAAAAUCAUUUAAUAGCAACUUGAACAAAGAUAAUGGAUGGCAUUCAAGUGUUCAAAGCAUUUGAGAAGAUAAUGGAUGGCAAUCCGAAAAAGUUUUAUUUGUUGAAGUCACUUCUUGAUGAUGAAAAAAGAGAUUUUAUUCUCUUUAUUCUUAAGGAGUAGUUUCUAGUUGGAUAACAAGAAUCCCAAAUCUUUGAACCCAUUUGAAUUAGAUGAUUGUUGAAUUCAGAUAGCAAAAUAAGCGCAAGUGUCGAUUGGUCUUCUGUUAGUCUCUGGCAGAUUUCAAAAUUUAUGGAGUCUGUUUUUUCUCCUCCUUACCUGUGGCAUUUGCUGAUUUGGAUGAUUGUUGAAUUGUUCUUUUGUUGCUACGGAUAGGGUUUAUCAUACGAGCGGUUCUGAAUUCUCGGUUACAAUUUCUUUACAUUGAGGAUACUUCUCUUCUCACAUGCUAUUCAGUUUGCAACUCUUUGUAUUUUUUCUUAUUAACAUUUCUCUUGGUAUAUCAAAGACCAAAUUGACUAUGUAAUUGUCAGUUGUACCUGCUCUGUUUAUAUAGGAUGAUGUUUGAGCAUGGCUUAUAGGUUGAAAUCAAGGUUUAGAUAGUUACAUUUUUAAUGUUCAAACACAUGAAAUUGUUACUUAUUUGCUCUGAUAUCAACUUAUUCUCACUUUGAAUA